UACGAAGGGGACUAGCGUUGUUCGGAAUUACUGGGCGUAAAGCGCACGUAGGCGGAUUGUUAAGUGAGGGGUGAAAGCCCAGGGCUCAACCCUGGAACUGCCUCUCAUACUGGCAAUCUUGAGUUCGGAAGAGGUAAGUGGAAUUGCGAGUGUAGAGGUGAAAUUCGUAGAUAUUCGCAGGAACACCAGUGGCGAAGGCGGCUUACUGGUCCGAAACUGACGCUGAGGUGACGAAAGCGUGGGGAGCAAACAGG
rnacentral:rRNA from 1 species